rnacentral:snoRNA from 1 species
CUCCUCUCAGAAUUGCACCUGGAGAGUUUCCAGGACACUACCAGUCUUGGCUAUGGGAGGGAGAGUCAAGCAGAGGCCUAACCAUUCCAUUCCUAGCUUGGGCAGUGGCUAGCAAGUGGAAAGCAAUCUGCUAAAAAU